rnacentral:rRNA from 1 species
GACGAACGCUGGCGGCGUGCUUAACACAUGCAAGUCGAACGGAAAGGCCCUGCUUUCGUGGGGUGCUCGAGUGGCGAACGGGUGAGUAACCCGUGAGUAACCUGCCCUUGACUUUGGGAUAACUUCAGGAAACUGGGGCUAAUACCGGAUAGGAGCUCCUGCUGCAUGGUGGGGGUUGGAAAGCUUCGGCGGUUGGGGAUGGGCUCGGGGCUUAUCAGCUUGUUGGUGGGGGAGUGGCUUACCAAGGCUUUGACGGGUAGCCGGCCUGAGAGGGUGACCGGCCACAAUGGGACUGAGAUACGGCCCAGAGUCCUACGGGAGGCAGCAGUGGGGAAUAUUGCACAAUGGGCGGAAGCCUGAUGCAGCAACGCCGCGUGCGGGAUGACGGCCUUCGGGUGGUAAACCGCUUUCGCCUGUGACGAAGCGUGAGUGACGGUAAUGGGUAAAGAAGCACCGGCUAACUACGUG